rnacentral:rRNA from 1 species
AGUGAACGCUGGCGGUAGGCCUAACACAUGCAAGUCGAACGGCAGCACAGUAAGAGCUUGCUCUUACGGGUGGCGACUGGCGGACGGGUGAGGAAUACAUCGCACUCUACUCUUUCGUGGGGGUUAACGUCGGGAACCUUACGCUAAUACCGCAUACGACCUACGGGUGAAAGCAGGGGAUCUUCGGCGCUUGUGCGAUUGCUUGAGCCGUUUCGGGAUUGGCUAGUUGGGGGGGCAAAGGCCUACCACGGCGACGAUCCGUAGCUGGUGGGAGAGGAUGAUCAGCCACACUGGAACGGAGACACGGUCCAGACUCCUACGGGAGGCAGCAGUGGGGAAUAUUGGACAAUGGGCGCAAGCCUGAUCCAGCGAUACCGCGUGGGUGAAGAAGGCGUUGGGGUUGUAAAGCCCUUUUGUUGGGAGAGAAAAGCAGCAGGUUAAUACCCCGCUGUUCUGACGGUACCCAAAGAAUAAGCACCGGCUAACUUCGUG